CAUCAGUAUUAUUUAUCCAACACUGUUAGCGAAGGAAAAAAAAAUCCUAAAGAUCAUCUAUAUCUAAUAUCAUCACCAAAGCUGUGUCGCAACGCUUAACAUAAGAACACAAGCAUCAUAUGGUUUACCACUAGAGAUCCAGGGUUACAAGAACGAUAUGAAACACUCUCAUGAUCAGAACUUAGAACAUAUUAAUUACACAAUAAUAUGCUUCCCAUAAGACACUGGUUAGACGUAUCAAACCAAAAGUAACGUCCUGUCUAGGGGAAAACUAACAAGCAAAAGGAAAAAGACAGAGAAACAAAUUACCAAAUAGCUGG
rnacentral:misc_RNA from 1 species